CAUUUACGGAGAGUUUGAUCCUGGCUCAGGACGAACGCUGGCGGCGUGCUUAACACAUGCAAGUCGAACGAUGAAGCCCAGCUUGCU
rnacentral:rRNA from 1 species